rnacentral:lncRNA from 1 species
GAGUUCUUUUGCAAAUAUUUAAGCAAAAAAUGAAUGUCAAAUAUAUACCCGAAACCUAGAUUUAAGUUUUGAACGAUCCUUUACCUCAUUCUCCAUCUCCUCCAUGAGCUGGUUAGCAGUUUUUUUAAGAAAAUAAAGAGCACAAUCUUCAAAUAAUGUAAAGUAUGCUGCCUGCUCCAUGUCAUCAUCAUCAUCAUCAUCAUCUAUGAGUACCUUCAUCAAAUAUCUAAUAAUAACCGGAAAACAACAAAUUAAAAGAUAUUUUGUAAAUUUAUAUAGAUGUAACCUGGAAAAUGUAUAAAACAUAUAUAAUAUUAGACACAAAAAUAAUGGUAAAUAUGUAAAUAACCUUAUAUGGAUUUACCCGAUCGGACGCUUGCACUUUUUGCAUUGGUCUCCAACUUUACUUCCUUUUGCAAUACCUUUAUAGCACCUAUCAUUCCCACAUGCUUCAUAGAACCAUGAUUAUGUAGGAUGAAUGUCUCUAAUAGUCCCCUUGCAUAUAAAGGUACCAACCUAAAAAUUCAAAAAUAAAUAAAUAAAAUUAAAUUUUGGUGCUAUCAAUAAAAAAAAAUCCCAACCUUGAAUAAUCGCUAUGCUAUGUAUACCUCAUCCGAGUUAACCAUCUGCUUAAUGGUUCUCGCGAGAGAACCAUUCAACCAAUCCUCACUUUUAAAUUCUCCACCACUACUCGAAAUGUUUGUGAUAGAACAACUCAAUAGAUUUCCAGUCCCACGCCUUAAUAUAAUAGUAAUAUCAAUAAAGAAAUAUCAAAUUAAUAUAAAAAAAAUAAUUAAAACUAUAAACAAUUUGAAAGUAAGUAGUGUAUGUUCAAUUACAAACCUAAGAAUAAACUAUUUGACCUGUUGGAUUUCCGGACUGAUAAAGAACCGAGUUGCAUGCUUCAUUGUGGAAAUGAAGGUUUUCCCUAAAAUUAAAUACAAAAUUUGUGAAUAAUUUUGAUCAUCCUUUUUAUAUACUUAGAACAAUUAAUAAAUCUUAAACCUUGAAAGUUGAUAUCUUCGCAAAUUGCAAAGCCACGAGAACGGGCUCUUUGUCUUCAUUUUUCUUGGACUCCAUAAAAGAUUUAGUUCAUCAGCAAAAGACUCCCACAACACACAAGUUACUUGUGUUCCACUAAUGUCAACAUAGCAUAUAUAAGUGAAUCAAAAAGUUAGAUAAUGAUUACAUAUAUAUUUGACUGUACAAAAAAAAAAGGAGAGCAAGAACACCCUAACUGUUGUUCAUGUUCUAGAACAAAUUGCUCGAAUUCCCAUUAUAUAUUCUCAAAUUCCCAUACAAUAUUAUCCUCCAACUAAAACCAUGAUUUUGAUUAUGCACGAGCAAUCAAAAUCUCACCGAAAGGAAUCGGGAUACGAAUGCCAAUAAUUUCAGUUAGGGAUACUCACAAUAAUAAUCAACUAUUCCUUAAAAAAUCAAAUAUUCCAAUCACAGUUUCACAUAGCCACAUAUAAGAAUGGAUCAUACAAAUCUGUACUAUUCAGUUUCACAUUACCAUAAUAAUUAAAGAAUUAGUAAAAAUCAUACUCUGCAUCUUCCAAUGUGACGUCACAUUUGCUGGCUUUUCUACCUUUGAAGUCCACCCAUUCUAUUGUAAUUGUGUCGUUCUUGACCUCCGAGAAUAUCUGCAAGUAGUAUAAUUUAUAUUUUAAUAAAUAUGGCAUGAACAUGUAAAAUUUAAUAUAUAGAUCAUUAUUUAAGAAAAUUAUUCUUACCCAAAACAAACAUGCUAUCAUGCGAUUGUAUUUCCUUGAAAGGUACAAAUUGGAAUCCAUCUUUCACAAUUUCCACAAACUCCUUAGGUUCCGACACAUUAGUAGCAAGGCCAAAGCCGAUCCUACAUUGAUGAUUGAUUUUGGCAUAUUGAAGGCUUGUAUUAUUUUUGAUAGCUUGAAAGUUUUCAAAAACAUAAAUUUGGCCCUCUUUUAGUAGAUUUAAAAAAUUGCUUUUCAACCCCGUAGAGAUUGUAGCUUGAAUUUUGUCACCCUGCACAUAAAAAAAUUAUGUAUAGACUACAUAGAUAAAGUAUGAGCUAAAAAAAUAACCAAUAAUGAACACUUACCAUUUCAUCCACUACAAUCAUCUCAAUUCAUUCCUUUCCUGUUAUGUCCUUUUGAAUCCACAAUCGAAGUAUCCUGACCACCACAAGCUUAUUUCUUGUGUUAUCAUUUAUGGCAUUCAAUUGAAUCUUCUUUCUUGAUGUUGACAUCUCCUUGUGUUAUAAUAAAUGAAUGCAAUACGUUUAGAAUAUAGAACAAGGCAGUAUCAGGCAGUCAAAAGAAAAUAUAUGUUACAGAGUCAAAUUACAGAAGCUCAAGCACACAAUUGCAGGUAUGAUCAGAACAUACAUGCAUAAAAAUAAAAGAAUAGCUGUAUAAGAUGAAGGACAAACCAACAACAUGACUACUCCACUAUGAAGGGCUUAGGACCAGAUCUGACCCAGCAAAUGGCAGAGCAGAUGAUAUAAUAUGUUGGUUUGCAGAAUGAUACAACCUACUUUGGUGAUUCGAUUUCCAUUAACAAAAAUCAUAAUAUAGUCAUCCUUUUGAAGCAAACCGUUGAAUAAAAUGACAUCAAUCCAGGAAGAUAUUUUUUGGCAUCAAAAUAGCAUCAUUUUUAGUACCAACUAUAAGCAAAGAAAAAUAAUAUCAGAUAGCCCAAAAGAAUUAUCCAUGCAACACAACUACAAUUUCGAACACAAUAAGAAUUUUAUGGCAAAUAUCAGAAUUCGGGGUUGAAAAUAAAUUAGAAUAAUAAUUAAAUAAAAAUGCUGAUCGAAUUCGGCUCAUAAGGGAUCUGCUACUUGGAGAGUUUACCUGUUUGUGUGAGACUCUCCUUUCACUUGUGAGAGCCCGGGGUGGCUGCCUUGUUCGUCGAGGCAGAGGAGUCUCCGACGAGGCACAGGGACAGUGGCGAGUCUUCAGGAAGGGGAGGCAAGGUUGAACGAUUGCGAAUUAAAGCAAUCACAUAGAGUUAAUUAACAAAAUCUAAACCAAAAAACUGGACAAUAUAAAUAAAAGGUGAAUCGCAGACGAAGGGUACCGCAGCUAUGAAUCGGAUAACAGGAUGUGGCGUUAAUAAUUCUAUCAAAUGAAUUUAUAGAUAAAAAUCUAGGGUUUAAGUUUCCUUUGAUAAAAUUCUUUCCAAAAAAAUUUCUUUCUAAACUUUACAAUCAUUCUAUAUUUAAAUAGUUUGCAGCAACCGAAAAUUCAAAGCAUGAUAUGAUUUGCUAUUUUUGUUAAAUAACAAAAUAAAAAACUUACCAUAGCCGGACGUGGUCUUGUACCCUUCGCGACCGCCGGAAUCUGUAGGUAGGGGGGAAGUCGGGAGGGCAGAUCGCCGGGGGGAUGGAUACUUACAUUUCCUAAUUGAAUACUUACCAUGGCGAGGUGGCGGACUGUGUCGAUCUCGACGGUGGCCGGCGCGGCGAAGCGAAUCGCAGCGGGAGGCAGAAUGAAGAAAUUGGUGGAGUGGGAGGCAGAUCGGAGCAGAUCUCUGGCGAUUGCGGCAGCGGCGGUGACGCGAAUCGCGACGGAAGAGAGGGAGAAAUUGCUACGCGGAGACAGGAAGAAGGGGCCGCGGUGGCAGAUCGGAGUAGAUCUCUGGCGAUUGCGGCAGCGGCGGUGACGCGAAUCGCGGCGGAAGAGAGGGAGAAAUUGCUACGCGGAAACAGGAAGGAGGGGCCACGGUGCCGAGUUGGGGCCGGAGUAAUCGCCGCGGGAGAGGGGAGAGGCUGGUGUGGAGCUGCAGAAAUAAUAGAUAAACGAAGGGGAGGGAUUCACGGCGGAGGAAGGAGGGGCGGCGCUGAUUCAGACGGGGGAGGGGAGAGUAGUGUGGAGACGGGGGUGGUUGAGGGGAAUUGAAUUUGGGGAGGAGAGAUACUUAAUUUUGUGUUUUAAGAAUUAAAGUAAGAUAUACCAUGUAGGAUAUAUUUUGCCACAUAGGAUGACUAAUAUUAUGCCAGAAGCUCUAGAAUUGCAGGGAUUUUAAAUCUUGAAUUCUUAGAUAGGCCACGUAGGACCCCGGAUUAAGGAGAGCGCAAGAUUCCUUAAUCGUAGUAUAUAUUUG